AUACGUAGGGAGCAAGCGUUGUCCGGAAUUACUGGGCGUAAAGGGCGUGUAGGCGGCCGAUCAGGUCAGGUGUGAAAUUUCAGGGCUCAACCCUGAGCGUGCACUUGAAACUGGUUGGCUUGAGUGCAGAAGAGGAAAGUGGAAUUCCCAGUGUAGCGGUGAAAUGCGUAGAUAUUGGGAGGAACACCAGUGGCGAAGGCGACUUUCUGGUCUGUAACUGACGCUGAGGCGCGAAAGCUAGGGGAGCGAACAGGAUUAGAUCCCCUAGUAGUCCACGCCGUAAACGAUGGGUACUAGGUGUAGGAGGUAUCGACCCCUUCUGUGCCGUCGUUAACACAAUAAGUACCCCGCCUGGGGAGUACGGUCGCAAGACUAAAACUCAAAGGAAUUGACGGGG
rnacentral:rRNA from 1 species